AUUGAACGCUGGCGGCAGGCCUAACACAUGCAAGUCGAGCGGAUGAAGCGAGCUUGCUCCUGGAUUCAGCGGCGGACGGGUGAGUAAUGCCUAGGAAUCUGCCUGGUAGUGGGGGAUAACGUCCGGAAACGGGCGCUAAUACCGCAUACGUCCUGAGGGAGAAAGUGGGGGAUCUUCGGACCUCACGCUAUCAGAUGAGCCUAGGUCGGAUUAGCUAGUUGGUGGGGUAAAGGCAUACCAAGGCGACGGUCCGUAACUGGUCUGAGAGGAUGACCAGUCACACUGGAAGUGAGACACGGUCCAGACUCCUACGGGAGGCAGCAGUGGGGAAUAUUGGGCGAUGGGCGAAAGCCUGAUCCAGCCAUGCCGGGUGUGUGAAGAAGGUCUUCGGAUUGGAAAGCACUUUAAGUUGGGAGGAAGGGCAGUAAGUUAAUACCUUGCUGUUUUGACGUUACCAACAGAAUAAGCACCGGCUAACUUCGUG
rnacentral:rRNA from 1 species